UUAGAUCCAAGAUAUCUCACAUUUUCAAAGAGGGAAACAAAUGGGUAUAUCAAUGCUGUUUUUUUUUAUUAUAAUACUUUGGAGAAUUCUCUUCUUAUUUGUGUUUUUGAAAGUUUUUCAAGGGAUAAGUUGGGCAUGUCCAGCUAUCGUUUUUGCUAGAUGUUUGAUGGACUAAGUUUUAGACCUCCCAUACUUUUUGUUUUUCAUUUUUUAUUUAAU
rnacentral:lncRNA from 1 species